AGAAGAAGCAGCCAGGAGGAAAGCAAUCUACCACACUCGUUUGGUCUUGUGUCAAAGCUGUGCGAAACUGGAGGGAGAAACUUGAGAGACCGUGCCGGAAGAAUGCUGGACAGAGUUCACUAAAAUUCAUUAAUUUCAAAGUUCAACAUGAAUGGUGGUGGUCCACUGCAGAAGCAAGCAUUUGAAAAAACAUCACUUCUCAGUUAUUAAAGAUGCCGUGUUGAACAACUUCCCAGCAGCAACAGAACUGGAAGUGAAGGAUGCAAUGGGGGCAUUUCAAACAGGCACCAGGGAGCAUGGGGGGGGUAUAGAAAUUAGUACAAUUAAUAAGUUGACGUGAACUGAAGAUAGUUUGUUAAUGUUUAGAUGUUAUUUAAUUUUUAAAAUUGUAUUUUGUUAUAUAUGCUUUUAUUUUGUUACUGUUUUUAUUCUUUUUGUUAAAAGUAGUUUUUCUUUAUUUUGUCUUAUCUGAAUUUCUAUUGUAUUAACAAUAUUUUUUGUAAUAAAUUGCAUGAUUGCAUGUUUAUGAGAACCUUUUUUAAUGGAUUAAAAAUAAUUCUUUAGCCAUUCUUUUGUUCUUUAUUAGACACAAACGUGUAGUCGUUUAAUAGCCGUCUAUUUAACGGCUAGUCUAUUCUUGGGCUAUGAUAGACGUCUACUAGAUUUUCACUGACAGCCCAAAAUUAGCCUUGUUUUAGCCUAGACCCACAUUCACCGUCUAUUAGACGUAUAUAUGUAGACGUUUAAUAGCCAUCUAUUUGAUGACUAGUCUAUUUCUUGGGCUAUGAUAGACGUCUACUAGAUUUUCACUGACAGCCCAAAAUUAGCCUUGUUUUAGCCUAGACGUCAGGGGGGUGUUUAGACGGCUACUAGACGUCUAUUAGCCGCAAAAUUGCU